GGUCUGUUUCUCAGGUAAACUACUUAUUUUUAAAAAAUCUUUUCCCCUCCAGUACUUGGGAUUGAACCAGGGUCUCCACACUGAGCAAAUUCUCAGCCUUUUUGAGACAGAGCAUGCUAGUCACUUUCCAGACACCCGCAACCUAAAGGAGGAGUUCAUUUUGGUUCGGUUUCAGAAAUUUCAGUCGACGGUCAGGAGGUUCCAACACAGGAGCAGCACGGCAGAAAGACCCGCUGCAGACACAGCCGGUCACAUCAUGGCGGCCAACGAGCAGCCAGCGAGAAGGGAGGAGCCUGGGAAGUUGGAAUCUUCUUCCGGGUCAUCCUCAGCGACCCACUCUGAACCACUUUCCUCCCUGAGUUUAUUAGUGUACGGAUCCACCCAAGGCCACAGCGCCAGGAUCAGUCACCUUCCCGCAGUUUCCCUGGAGUUCAGUGGUCACUCAGCACUGGGACUCCCACUCCUCGAAGUGGCUUUGUACCUCUUUCUUCUGCAAAAAAACUUACUUUUCCGUUGCACCAUUUUCGACUCCUCUUCCUCUUUCUGCAGAGGAGAAAGAGAGCAGCCUGGGAAAGACAGGGGAGGAGGCUGAAGACCACCCCUCAUGCCCUUACAGUUGGCCCCAAACUCAAGAUUCUCCUGCCUCAGCCUCUCAAGUGAUGGGACUACAAGUGUGUGCCACUGUGAUGCAGAGAGAAGGCCACUCGAGGACACCAGGAAAAGGCAGCCGCUUGCAAGCCAACUUGGUGCUGAUGUUGGACUCCGGCCUCCUGAGCCUCCUGAACCAGGGCUGCCUACAGCAUCUGGCCAUUGUAGCUGACACACAGACUGCUCCGAGGCCUUGGGCACAUGUGUUCAAAUGCAUAUCACUGAAGCCACACGUUCCGCCCUGGCAGACAAGAAUGGGGUAAGGCGUGGACAGAAGACAUUAAGAAAAAUGGAAGCUUUUUAAAAAGUUUUAUUUCAAGAACUUUGUUUUUACUGGUAUUCCAAAAAAAGGUGGGUCAAAGUACAAAAAAAAAAGUCAGUUGAAUAAUAGUGUAGGUUUAGAAAUCACAGCAGCAAAAGCAAUGUACAGACA